rnacentral:rRNA from 1 species
AAAAUAGAUACCCCCGGUAGUCCACGCCGUAAACGAUGAGUGCUAAGUGUUAGAGGGUUUCCGCCCUUUAGUGCUGCAGCAAACGCAUUAAGCACUCCGCCUGGGGAGUACGGUCGCAAGACUGAAACUCAAAGGAAUUGACGGGGGCCCGCACAAGCGGUGGAGCAUGUGGUUUAAUUCGAAGCAACGCGAAGAACCUUACCAGGUCUUGACAUCCUUCGCUACUUCUAGAGAUAGAAGGUUCCCCUUCGGGGGACGAAGUGACAGGUGGUGCAUGGUUGUCGUCAGCUCGUGUCGUGAGAUGUUGGGUUAAGUCCCGCAACGAGCGCAACCCUUGAUCUUAGUUGCCAGCAUUCAGUUGGGCACUCUAAGGUGACUGCCGGUGACAAACCGGAGGAAGGUGGGGAUGACGUCAAAUCAUCAUGCCCCUUAUGACCCGGGCUACACACGUGCUACAAUGGAUGGUACAAAGGGCUGCAAGACUGCGAAGUCAAGCGAAUCCCAUAAAACCAUUCUCAGUUCGGAUUGCAGG